rnacentral:rRNA from 1 species
UACGUAGGGGGCAAGCGUUGUCCGGAUUCAUUGGGCGUAAAGAGCGUGUAGGCGGCCAUGUAGGUCCGGUGUGAAAACUCGAGGCUUAACCUCGAGAUGUCAUCGGAAACCAUUUGGCUAGAGUCCGGAAGAGGAGAGUGGAAUUCCUGGUGUAGCGGUGAAAUGCGCAGAUAUCAGGAAGAACACCAAUGGCGAAAGCAGCUCUCUGGGACGGUACUGACGCUGAGACGCGAAAGCGUGGGGAGCGAACAGG